UACGUGGGGUGCAAGCGUUGUCCGGAAUUAUUGGGCGUAAAGAGCUCGUAGGCGGUUUGUCGCGUCUGCUGUGAAAACUCGGGGCUCAACCCCGGGCCUGCAGUGGGUACGGGCAGACUAGAGUGCGGUAGGGGAGACUGGAAUUCCUGGUGUAGCGGUGAAAUGCGCAGAUAUCAGGAGGAACACCGGUGGCGAAGGCGGGUCUCUGGGCCGUAACUGACGCUGAGGAGCGAAAGCGUGGGGAGCGAACAGG
rnacentral:rRNA from 1 species